rnacentral:rRNA from 1 species
GACGAACGCUGGCGGCGUGCCUAAUACAUGCAAGUAGAACGCUGAAGAGAGGAGCUUGCUCUUCUUGGAUGAGUUGCGAACGGGUGAGUAACGCGUAGGUAACCUGCCUUGUAGCGGGGGAUAACUAUUGGAAACGAUAGCUAAUACCGCAUAACAAUGUAUGACACAUGUCAUUUAUUUGAAAGGGGCAAUUGCUCCACUACAAGAUGGACCUGCGUUGUAUUAGCUAGUAGGUGAGGUAAUGGCUCACCUAGGCGACGAUACAUAGCCGACCUGAGAGGGUGAUCGGCCAAACUGGGACGGAGACACGGCCCAGACGCCUACGGGAGGCAGCAGUAGGGAAUCUUCGGCAAUGGGGGCAAACCUGACCGAGCAACGCCGCGUGAGUGAAGAAGGUUGUCGGAUCGUAAAGCUCUGUUGUAAGUCAAGAACGGGUGUGAGAGUGGAAAGUUCACACUGUGACGGUAGCUUACCAGAAAGGGACGGCUAACUACGUG